GGUCUUGUGGCGGAAUGGCAGACGCGCUUGUUUAAGGGGCAAGUCCUCGAAAGAGGGUGAGGGUUCGACCCCCUCCGAGACCACCA
rnacentral:tRNA from 1 species